rnacentral:misc_RNA from 1 species
GGAGGUGGAGGAGGAGGAAUAGGAAGUGAAGAAAAAUAGAUUAGAAAACGCGAACAGAAAUUAGGAAUUCGAUCGAUUUUUAUUCGGUUCGCAUUGCAAUUUUGUUGUCUAGAAGAAUUUCAAAAUACUUGAGAUUUCACUCACGUAUUUCUAUGAAAACAUAUAUAUGUAUACAUAUAAUAUAACUAUAAAAUAUGUAGAUGUAUUGUGUUCGUAAUCUAUUUAUAUAAAUUAUAUCAAAUUUGCAUCGAGAUUUCUCGCAUACAAAGAGGGAUAUCCAAAAUUGAAUUUAACGUUUAUCUCGGUUUUUUUUUUUCUUCUUUCAUUUUAUUUUUAUUACGGAUCAUAUAUAUUUCUUUAGAAUGUAAUCGUUAUCACGAGGGGAAAAUACGCUCACACAGAAGUAGAUCUACGUGUUAAUUAAGAUAAUUCAAGAUAGGAAAAUGCGCUUGCGUCCAUUCCUAAGGAGAAAAAAUAUCUGUUACUCUUCUUAAUCCGAAAUUUAUUCGGUGCGGAACAAUUAAAUCGUACGGUAUUAUCUUCUCGUUUAAUCGUGCAUCUCUAAUUAAGCAUUUAAGCACGCAUACACCCAAUAUCCACAUAUACACGCAUACAAACAUGUACCGCAUAUACUCGUUGAAAAGGGAAAAUACGUUUGCUAGAAAUUCCGAAAAUUUGUCAAUCGAUCUUCUAAUAUCGUCAUCCUCGACAACAUUUUUUGGCCUUCGACGCAACGAUUUCGACUAAUUUCGACCGAGAGAGAGAGAGAGAGGUAGAGAGAUAGAAAGAGAGAUAGAAAAAUAAAGAGAAAGAGAGAGAGAGAGUGUGGGAGAGAGAGAGAGAGAGAGUGAGAAAGGGAAGUCACCGAUGGAACAUAGUAUAGUAGAACAAAUAACGAUCUCUUUGAUCCCGUGUCAAAAAGUUAGCUGGCAGGAUAGUGUCGAGCAUUGUCCAUCCUUGAUCUUCCAAGGAGAAGGAAGAUAAACGAUAGCGAAAAGGAUUUCAAAGAUAUCUCGUUAAAGAUGAGAAAACGGGCGACGAGAUCUUUAAGGGGAGGGAAGAAAGUAUGGACGGCGAUUCCAACAACCUGACGACGCUCGUAGCCAACCUGACGACGUACCAGGACGAAGGCUAACGGUUCCGGAGGGGAAUAAGAAAGAAGUUGCGGAUGAACGAAAGAUGAACGAGAGCGAGGGUUAUCUGCUCGAGUGGGAAGAUGAGGCAGAAGCAAGGGAACCUAGCGGCGAAUUAAAUCGAAGUUUUUACAACGCAAGUCGCGGCAAUCGCAGUUACGAAGAUUUGUGGGAAUUAACGAGCGAUCGGGCCGGACUCGCUGUUUUACUUUUUCUAUUUUCCGUGGCCACAGUUUUCGGUAACAGCUUGGUAAUCCUAGCGGUCAUCAGAGAAAGAUAUCUCCACACGGCGACGAAUUAUUUCGUAACGUCGUUGGCCUUUGCAGAUUGCCUGGUCGGGCUGGUCGUCAUGCCGUUCAGUGCGAUUUACGAGGUAUUAGAAAAUCGAUGGCUAUUCACGACCGAUUGGUGCGAUGUCUGGCGUUCCCUCGACGUACUCUUCUCGACGGCCUCGAUCUUGAACCUCUGUGUGAUAAGUUUGGAUCGUUAUUGGGCCAUCACCGAUCCCUUUACCUAUCCAAUGAGGAUGACUAGAAAACGUGCCGCGAUAUUGAUCGCGAUCGUUUGGAUUUGUUCUAGCGCGAUAUCAUUUCCAGCUAUUGCUUGGUGGAGAGCCGUCAGGACGGAGGAAGUACCAGAAGACAAGUGUCCGUUCACUGAAAAUCUCGGCUAUUUGAUAUUUUCAUCGACGAUUAGCUUUUAUUUACCGCUAUUCGUUAUGGUCUUUACCUAUUAUAGGAUCUAUCGAGCGGCGGUUAUACAAACGAGGAGUCUCAAAUUGGGAACAAAACAAGUUAUGAUGGCCUCCGGCGAGCUCGAACUUACUCUUAGGAUACAUCGUGGUGGUGGUGGUGGUGGUGGUAGUGGUGGUGGAGGUGUUAGCACUAGCGGAGCUAGUACGAACGUAGAUCCAAGGCAUCUAUUUCGUACGGCCUCGAGUACCCCAGAAGAUCUUCAAGAUCUCGAGGAACCUCUUACCGCUCUUCACAACAAUGGAUUGACCAGAAUACCUUCCACUAGGAUCAACAAUAAACAACAUCUAGGGAAAAACUUUUCGUUGUCGCGCAAACUAGCGAAAUUUGCUAAGGAAAAGAAAGCUGCUAAGACUCUUGGCAUUGUCAUGGGAGUCUUUAUCGUUUGCUGGUUACCCUUCUUCGUGGUGAAUCUAUGGUCGGGUUUCUGCGCCAGGUGUAUCUGGCAAGAGGAGAUUGUUUCUGCUGCCGUCACGUGGCUUGGCUGGAUCAACAGUGGCAUGAACCCAGUUAUAUACGCUUGCUGGAGCAGGGAUUUUCGGAGGGCAUUCGUAAGGAUAUUAUGCGUAUGUUGUCCAAGACGAAUGAGAAGGAGAUAUCAGCCGGCAUUUCGAUGUAAACCUAGUCAGAGAUUCUCAUCCGGAAGGUACUAUUCUGCUUACUCGCUCCACCACAUGCGAAGAAGCCGAGAGAAUUCGGGUGAACAAACCUACAUUUAACGACGGGAUUAUCGACGCGACACGAUCGUCGAAAAAUCGUCGUUAUCCUCGAAGUACUACCUACGCCAUUAUAUCAAAAGUCCUUUCCGUUCCAACCAAAUACGACGGAAUACAUUAUUAUGGCGUCUACGGUGCACGGUUAUUCAUAAUAUAAUGAUUAUUCGUCGAAUAAAAAUCGUCUAGUGUGUAUUAAUAGACCCGAACGGAGAAUCUUCGAAUCGACAUUCAUUUAAAUAUAAAUAAAAAAAAUACGCGCGGGGAAUUAAUAAUAUCACAUCAUAAUAUUAUCACGGUAGUUUAUCACAUAUCUCGAUGUUACAUAUCGUUUUUUCACAAUAUAUUAUAUAUAGGUGAACAAUAAAAAUCUUGUAUCGUUGCAAUCGCUCUAUUUUUGUUUUUUUUUUUUUUUUUUGGGGACGCUUAAGUGGUCGGAAAAUUUUUGCAAUCGUUUCAUAAAAAUAAGGAUCCAAAAAGAAAAGAGAAAGAAAGCACUAUAAAACAUACGUGUGUGUAUAUAUAUACAUAUACAUAUAUAUAUAUAUACAUAUAUAUGUAUAGAGAUAUAUUAUCGUGUCGAAGUAAGUAAGUAUGCGUCGGAGUAUCUCGAAAAAAAAGAAAAAAGAAAAAAAAACGUUUGCUUUUUCAAUGAAAUAUAUAAAUAAAUAAUCGAUAAAACAUUUUAAUGGCACUACGAUCACGAAACGAUGAUGCGUUUAUUCGCAUAUAUUAUAUCCGAUUAAAAAAUCCUACCCAAGUAAAUGGUUUCUUAAGUGACCCCCCCUGACCAACCCCCCCCCCCUUUUAUCACCCAUGCCUUUUUCACCAGUUACCGAAUCGCUCUGAUGGAGGAGACUUGUCGCCAACCCUGUAGAAAACAAAGAACCUCGUACGUUUCCGGAAUGGGAACUUGCGGGCAAACGAGUAGCGUUAGUUACAGCAGUGUCAGCCAAAGCAGCGAUGGGGGUGCCUGCGUGUCUGGAACUGGUCUACCUAACUAUAAUACUGGGGGAAUGUGACGUCACCCAGGGGCCCGUUCAGGGCCACGUCGUGAAAGAGCCAUACGUUUCCGGGACGCGUGAUACGAUAAUAUACCAUCAUCACAUGAGUACUAAAUACACAUUUUACACGUGUAUUAUAUGGGAAAUGGAUCAUUCCAAAAAAAGAAAAAGAAAAGAAAGGAUAACGUAUGACAAGAGGAAUACGGGAACAAGUGAUCUCACUACACGUGUUGCUACGUUCGUAAAUUAUACUAAUUAAUUUCGUUUAUUUGUAGCGCAAUAAAUAUACCUAUACAAAAUACCAUAGGUAGGAAGAUAUAUCUAAUUUUACAUUAGUAUUAUAAUGUUUAAUCAUUUUUACGCGCAAUCUUUUUGAUAUUUUUAAACAAUACUUUUUCUCAAUAUCAUUUUUCUCUCCCUGUAUGUAUUAUUUUGUUUCUAUUUUUUUUUUUUUAUACUUACCUUUUUUCCUUCGCGUCUAUUCGACUCGUAACGAGUUGAUAACGACGUUGACAUUUUUCGAUAGUUACAUUAUGAUAAUUAUGCGAUAACGAAAGUAAUGGGAUAUUAAACAAAGGUUAAUAUUUGUUUAAAAGGAAGAAACACACUUUUGGAAGUAAAUAACAUUUCGUUUGCUUCUUGCCUUCUUACAUAUUCCUUAUCUUUCUCUCUCUCUCUCCCUCUCUCUUUCUCUCUCUCCCUCCCUCUCUCUUUCUCUUUCUAUCUAUCUAUUCAAAAAGUAUUGUUAAAUAUUUAUGCAGUAGAGAGAUAAUUGUUACGCUACAUAUUAAAUCUUGAGAUCAGUAUUGAAAGAAUCGGAAAGAAAAUCAUUCAUUUUUGCGAAUGACGAACUUUUUGCCGUUCGAGUGUUGUUAAAAAAAAAAAAUCACAAUUAGAUAGAUAGACACAUAAAUAUAUAUUAUACAAUUAAUCUAAAUCUAUAGUGAACGCGCGUAAUAAUAAUAAUAAUAAUAAUCAUCAUCAUUGAUGCGUACUGACGCGCACAUAUGUGUAUAUAUUAAUAAGCAAAUAUAUUCGAAAUGAAAUCUAAUAUAAAUUAUGAUAAUAUGUAUUAUCACGUGUGCUACGUAUUGCACAAAUUAGGAAGCAAUUUUUGAUAUUGAGAAAAAAAAAAAAAUAUGUGGAAACGAACGAUUCUCUAGAGCUUUGGAUACUUUUUACGUAAAAAAAAAAAAAAAGAAACUUUAAGACGCGCGACCAAGAAAAAAAAAGUAAAUAAAACAAAAAAAGAACAAGAUUAAAAGAUUUAAAAAAAAAAAAAAAUAAUGAAACGAAACACGAUGGACAUGAUUUAACUCCAAAGACUCCGAAGUACACUUUUUUUCUCUAUCAUAUCCCGUACGAUUGGGGAAGUAUAUGUGUAUAUGAGAAAUAAACACAUUUACGAAAAAAGUUCGCGAGUUUGGAAAACGAGAAAUAAUAUAAAAGUAAAAA